rnacentral:rRNA from 1 species
AUUGAACGCUGGUGGCAUGCUUUACACAUGCAAGUCGAACGGUAACAGGCCGCAAGGUGCUGACUAGUGGCGAACGGGUGAGUAAUGCAUCGGAACGUGCCCAGUCGUGGGGGAUAACGCAGCGAAAGCUGUGCUAAUACCGCAUACGAUCUAUGGAUGAAAGCGGGGGACCGUAAGGCCUCGCGCGAUUGGAGCGGCCGAUGUCAGAUUAGGUAGUUGGUGGGGUAAAGGCCCACCAAGCCAACGAUCUGUAGCUGGUCUGAGAGGACGACCAGCCACACUGGGACUGAGACACGGCCCAGACUCCUACGGGAGGCAGCAGUGGGGAAUUUUGGACAAUGGGCGCAAGCCUGAUCCAGCAAUGCCGCGUGCAGGAAGAAGGCCUUCGGGUUGCAAACUGCUUUUGUACGGAACGAAACGGUCUGGGUUAAUACCCUGGGCUAAUGACGGUACCGUAAGAAUAAGCACCGGCUAACUACGUGCCAGCCGCCGCAGUAACAC